rnacentral:rRNA from 1 species
AUCUACAGCCACACCACACUGAACAUGUCCAAUCUCAUCAGAUCUCAGAAGCUAAGCAGGGUCGGAGCUGGUUAGUACUUGGACAGAGGAAUGAUCUUUGGAGAGAUUUUUUCUUUGAAAAAU